UCACGAUACCAUUCCAACUUUCGUCUUUGAAAAUUGAGGCUCUGCAAGGUUGAGUAACCUAACGAGCUGGUAGCAGAGCUGGGGUGCUGGAGACUGACCGGGCUGUCUCACUGAUGGAAGGAGGGGUAGCAAUCACACAGGACCAUCUUUUCUCACGCCUCCUGCUGUCCCGGCCAUGGCUGUUUGCCGCGUACACAGUUCCUUCUUGCGUCUGUCCACCAAAGCAGAGGGGGCUGCACUCAGAAGACCUUCACUUUCACCGAGCAAGCUACCCAUGGGGCUCAAAUGAAUGGUCCACAAGGAAUGAGAGAGCAGAAAGCUUUAUGUCUUGGAGCAAAAAGCACAAACUUAGGAACAAGAAAGCUGGGGCUGGAAUACCCUUGAGACUUAAUGACCAGAACUAAGAUCCGGAGAGUCUGCCGAGGGUUUUCAUCACCUUGCCUGACAGUCAGAUGCCUCUCAGUUCAAGGAGGCCACUGAAGUGGAACUGAAGGCUGUUUUUCACUCAUGUCUCAGUGGAAGCUGGCAGUCCGCUCACCUGCCCCACUUGGCUGCGUCUUGCCUGCCUCUCUGCUCCAACAACGUCUUGACUUGGCAGCACUACAAGACAGAAUAAAAACAUACACUUCUACCCAAAUUCCUGUCUCCUCUCAUUUAUGCGGAAGAUUAAAUGAUUUCUUGCUUUGUCUUCUUCUACAAGGAUUCUUACCGCCUUGUUCCUGUUCCGUCUACAUCAGCUGGGAGAAAAAACAGUUAUCAGGUGUCACAAUGGUUCUCACAACGAAGUAGUAGUACCAUUUCUCAGAUAAGG
rnacentral:lncRNA from 1 species